rnacentral:rRNA from 1 species
ACGAAAACCUUACCUACCCUUGACAUGUCCGGAAUCCCGAAGAGAUUUGGGAGUGCUCGCAAGAGAGCCGGAACACAGGUGCUGCAUGGCUGUCGUCAGCUCGUGUCGUGAGAUGUUGGGUUAAGUCCCGCAACGAGCGCAACCCUUGUCAUUAGUUGCCAUCAUUUGGUUGGGCACUCUAAUGAGACUGCCGGUCGACAAACCGGAGGAAGGUGGGGAUGACGUCAAGUCCUCAUGGCCCUUAUGGGUAGGGCUUCACACGUCAUACAAUGGUCGGUACAGAGGGUUGCCAACCCGCGAGGGGGAGCUAAUCCCACAAAGCCGAUCGUAGUCCGGAUCGCAGUCUGCAACUCGACUGCGUGAAGUCGGAAUCGCUAGUAAUCGUGGAUCAGCAUGUCACGGUGAAUACGUUCCCGGGUCUU